CGAGUGACACUGCGCCGAAAAUGUACCGGGGCUAAACAUAUUACCGAAGCUGUGGAUUGUCCUUUGGACAAUGGUAGGAGAGCGUUCUAAGGGCGUUGAAGCAUGAUCGUAAGGACAUGUGGAGCGCUUAGAAGUGAGAAUGCCGGUGUGAGUAGCGAAAGACGGGUGAGAAUCCCGUCCACCGAUUGACUAAGGUUUCCAGAGGAAGGCUCGUCCGCUCUGGGUUAGUCGGGUCCUAAGCUGAGGCCGACAGGCGUAGGCGAUGGAUAACAGGUUGAUAUUCCUGUACCACCUAUAAUCGUUUAAUCGAUGGGGGACGCAGUAGGAUAGGCGAAGCGUGCGAUUGGAUUGCACGUCUAAGCAGUAAGGCUGAGUAUUAGGCAAAUCCGGUACUCGUUAAGGCUGAGCUGUGAUGGGGAGAAGACAUUGUGUCUUCGAGUCGUUGAUUUCACACUGCCGAGAAAAGCCUCUAGAUAGAAAAUAGGUGCCCGUACCGCAAACCGACACAGGUAGUCAAGAUGAGAAUUCUAAGGUGAGCGAGCGAACUCUCGUUAAGGAACUCGGCAAAAUGACCCCGUAACUUCGGGAGAAGGGGUGCUCUUUAGGGUUAACGCCCAGAAGAGCCGCAGUGAAUAGGCCCAAGCGACUGUUUAUCAAAAACACAGGUCUCUGCUAAACCGUAAGGUGAUGUAUAGGGGCUGACGCCUGCCCGGUGCUGGAAGGUUAAGAGGAGUGGUUAGCUUCUGCGAAGCUACGAAUCGAAGCCCCAGUAAACGGCGGCCGUAACUAUAACGGUCCUAAGGUAGCGAAAUUCCUUGUCGGGUAAGUUCCGACCCGCACGAAAGGCGUAACGAUUUGGGCACUGUCUCAACGAGAGACUCGGUGAAAUCAUAGUACCUGUGAAGAUGCAGGUUACCCGCGACAGGACGGAAAGACCCCGUGGAGCUUUACUGUAGCCUGAUAUUGAAAUUCGGCACAGCUUGUACAGGAUAGGUAGGAGCCUUUGAAACGUGAGCGCUAGCUUACGUGGAGGCGCUGGUGGGAUACUACCCUAGCUGUGUUGGCUUUCUAACCCGCACCACUUAUCGUGGUGGGAGACAGUGUCAGGCGGGCAGUUUGACUGGGGCGGUCGCCUCCUAAAAGGUAACGGAGGCGCUCAAAGGUUCCCUCAGAAUGGUUGGAAAUCAUUCAUAGAGUGUAAAGGCAUAAGGGAGCUUGACUGCGAGACCUACAAGUCGAGCAGGGUCGAAAGACGGACUUAGUGAUCCGGUGGUUCCGCAUGGAAGGGCCAUCGCUCAACGGAUAAAAGCUACCCCGGGGAUAACAGGCUUAUCUCCCCCAAGAGUUCACAUCGACGGGGAGGUUUGGCACCUCGAUGUCGGCUCAUCGCAUCCUGGGGCUGUAGUCGGUCCCAAGGGUUGGGCUGUUCGCCCAUUAAAGCGGUACGCGAGCUGGGUUCAGAACGUCGUGAGACAGUUCGGUCCCUAUCCGUCGUGGGCGUAGGAAAUUUGAGAGGAGCUGUCCUUAGUACGAGAGGACCGGGAUGGACAUACCUCUGGUGUACCAGUUGUCGUGCCAACGGCAUAGCUGGGUAGCUAUGUGUGGACGGGAUAAGUGCUGAAAGCAUCUAAGCAUGAAGCCCCCCUCAAGAUGAGAUUUCCCAACUUCGGUUAUAAGAUCCCUCAAAGAUGAUGAGGUUAAUAGGUUCGAGGUGGAAGCAUGGUGACAUGUGGAGCUGACGAAUACUAAUCGAUCGAAGACUUAAUCA
rnacentral:rRNA from 1 species